rnacentral:lncRNA from 1 species
AUUCUAUCUGCUGAGCUUCUCCAACCCACUGGUAAACACUACCCUGCUGGAGAACAGCACUGCUGUGAGGAUGGAGAAAGACAGUUUUCAGGUAAAUUCAUGCUGGCCAUGAUGAUGGCUCAGGGCUGCUGAUUCUCCUGGAGGAGAUUCUACUGAAUUGUGAUUUUCAACAUCUUGUUCUUGGCAUCUAAAAAAGAAGUCAGGUGAACAGGACAAAGUAGAAGUUGAGGUGCCUCAAGAGAUGUCAUGGUAGCUCAAACCCACAUAAAAUCACAUCUGGAACCUCCAAGGUCUAUAAUUACAGAACCAAGCCAUGAGAACAUGGUUUACUGUAACCCUAAGAAUUAGACAAUACAAAGAAUGACUCAACUUCAGUCUACCUUCUUAGGAAGCUGCAGGACAAACCACAAAGCCUGAAAUACAGAAAGGUUCCCUGUUUACCUGAUGACCCUGGUUAAAUGAACACUCAGGUACUGAUUUAAGAAAAUUAAAUCUAAAGAAUCAGAAAUAACGGAAGAAUAGCAAAUUUAUACAUGACACAUGUGUUUCUUGUUAAGAAAUAAUUAAAAGCAUUACUGAUAAAUAACCAAGUUGGAUUAUUCCAAAAAUGUCACAUGUAAUCUUAA